rnacentral:rRNA from 1 species
AUUGAACGCUGUCGGCAGGCCUAACACAUGCAAGUCGAGCGAGCGGCGGACGGGUGAGUAAUGUAUGGGGACUGCCCGCUAGAGGGGGAAAACUACUGGAAAAGGUAGCUAAUAACGCAUACUAAAGGAUAACCCAUAUGGGAUUAGCUAGUAGGUGGGGUAAUGGGGCACCUAGGCGACGAUCCCUAGCUGGUCUGAGAGGAUGAUCAGCCAAAUGGGGACGGUGACACGGACCAGCCUCCUACGGAGGCAGAAGGGGGGAAUAGUGCACAAUGGGCGCAAGCCUGAGGCAGCCAUGCCGCGUGUAUGAAGAAGGCCCUAGGGUUGUAGAGUACUUUCAUUCGUGAGGCGUUACCGACAGAAGAAGCACCGGCUAACUCCGUGCCAGCAGCCGCGGUAAUAC